CGCAAGUACGCACAAGUACGCAUAUUGAUAAACGCCCACACACACAGCCUCAGGUGGUCGGGUAUUGUUCUUCAGAAACUAUUUACAGGGCAGACAGACGCAUUUCAUCAAGACUGGCAAUUAUUUUUCCAAGAUUUCUUUUUCUCUAAAACUCAGGAUUAACGUUGCUGCACAUCGAUAUUUCAGGGACUGAACUUUAAGCACAGACAGAACAUGUGCAAAGGAUGUUGUAGUAAAGCAGACUGACCAAUA